CAUGGAUGAAAAGUGGAAGGCACUAUAAAAACUACCUACAGUUGUGUAAAAGAAUGACAUCCUGUCUUAGUCUGUUUGCUGUUGCUAUAACAAAAUAUUGGAAUCUACAUAAUUUAUAUAGAAAACAAGUUUAUUCAUGUCACAUUUCUGGGUGGAAGUGGGGAAGGCCAAAGGCAUAGAGCCAGCAUCAUCUUGGCUUCUGAUGGGUGCCUUCUCAUGCUCCUGGCAUGGUUGAAAAGCAGAUGCACAAGCAGGUCAUGUGCCAUGAGACGGAGGGCUGACCUCCUGUAGUAGCUAAGUCAUAUCCAUGAGAAAAACAUUAAUCCAUCUGGAAGGCUUUGCUCCAUGACCUGAACACCUCCUACUAGGCCCACCACCCAGUCCUUCCACAGAGGAAUUAAAGCUGAACCUGAAUUGUAGCAGGGACAAACCAUGUUGAAGCUAUAGCAAAUUUCACAUUUGAAAAUUUUCUGUAAGGUCAUCAUUAUGUAGUUACAGUGAAAAGUAGUAAUUUUUUUAAGUGGGGGAAAGGUUUGUGUAAGCAGGCAAAUGAAUGCGUUACAGGGACGGCCAUGGAAAAUGCUUGGCCAGCACUGGGCAUGUUACUUAGCAAGGUGUUGCUGACAGCGGAUGGAGCAAGGGCUGGAAGCAGAGAGAGCUGGGCUAGAAGCCAGGCUCCACUUCAUACCAGAAGCAUGAGCCCAGACAAGUUCCUGAACUCCCUAUGGCUUACAGAGCUGCAGAAAUGGAUGAAUAAGACCUGCUUGUAUGGUUCUUGCGGGUGGGGACCAGAUCUGCUUGGAGGCCGGUAUGUGCUGGGAGAUCAGUGAAUGGUGAUUGUAAGAUGUGAUGCUGCUCUCUUUCUCUCUUCAUAUUUUCAGAAAUUGUUGAUACCGCCGUGGGGAGAAGGAAAUCCAGUUUAAAAGGAAACAUUUGCAAAUAUGUUUCUGUUCAGGAAAUCAGCUGCAGACUGCACAGUUCUUUCCAGGACAGAAGAGAAUUUCCAGGACCUCUAGCCAGGGAGGAGAGAAAUCAAAUGGAGAGAGAAAACAGCUGACUUAUGAAUGUGAACAGAAACUCAGACCACCUGAUGUCUGCAGAGAAAUCUGUCGCCUGCAAAAGCCUGUAUGUGUCUCCCUUGAAAAUCCAGGCCAGCAACACAGCGGCAGUCCUCAUCUCUGUCCACUCCUCCCGCCGGGGGAAAAAAAUUCAGCACCUGUGUAUACCAAGUCCUUUUCAAGAUAUUCCUUUUCAUACUGGGCUAGGGAGGCAGCGUGACCUGUGUGGGUAACCACAGCCCUCUCACUCCCAAGGCAAGAAAACCCAAAGGCUGCCUCUCCCUUCCCAGCCUGCUUGCUGGUAGAUCUGGUUCGACUAAGCUCACAGCUGGGGGACAGGACAGGGCAAGGCACACGAAGGAGGAAGCUGUCUGCUCUGGGCCUAGAUGUUUACGACAAUCAUUAGGAUGAGAAAUAAUUAGGUGCCUGCACUGAAGACAGAAAUGAAUCAACAGUCAUACGGGAUGUGGGAGUCAAGGACCAUUCAUUCCUCUGUUUAGACUGUAUUUGGGACCAUGAAUGGGGACAAGAAAGACCAGAGAAGGAACCGCUUUGGGAAGGGAGAAGGAAGAUCCAAGAUUCUGCUCUGGAUGGACCAAGGUGGUGGUUUGUUGUGUGGACAAGUGGGGAACUGGCCACAUGAAUGUGGGUGGAAGCUCAAAUUUGUGAGCUACCAGCAGAAGAAAUCUUGGUAAAUGAGAACACCAAUGGAGUGAGUGCAGAUGGGAAUGAGGAACAGGCCAAGCACCCAGGACACGCCCUCCAACCUUCAGAAGAUGGGAGGGGAAGAACCCAGGAGGGCAGAGUUCUGAAUGUUUCAUGCACUGCUAUAUUCCCGGCACUGGACACAAUGCCUGGCACACAGUAUGUGCCCAUUAGAGCAUAUGUUGACUAUGUCAGUGAAAUUGCAUUCCAGGGAACUAGAAUCUUCCAUUUGAAGUACGUAACAAUAGCCACACCACACUCACCUACCCCCUCACGCUCCACCCCUUCUCAUCUUCCUCUCCUCUUUUCUUCUGCCUUCUUGCCUGAUCUAUGCUACCCACUGGGGCACCCAGGCACCCUGGCUUGAGCAUUACCUAUUUGCAUCAACUCUGGGUGAUGCUGGUUGCUGGCUCAGUGACCAAGCCAGUCUAGAGCCUUCUUUUUGCCUAUGUGCUGUACAUUGUUUUAAAAAAUGUCACACUUGGUCUUAUUGGACUGCUCCUUCUAUUGGAGCAUUUUUCAGUUGGCUAAUGCUAUUGUGAUUUCUACUUCCACUUCUUACAUUAAUGCCUCCCAGGUUGGUGUCAUCUGUGAUCUUAGGAAAUUCCUGGGUACAUCACUGGGGUAAAGCUAGAGAUAUUUCCCACAGGCUCCAUUCUAACACAAGUGAGGUCAUACAGGACACUUCCAGGUCAAGGCUACAUCACUGAUAAGGAGCCUUUUGGGCGAUGUUAUUCAGCUCUUAGUGCCUGCAUUGAAGACAGAAAAAUCUGUCUUGUUUCCUUCUAUUCAGUUGAUGAAAACUUAUUCACAAUGGAGUCUAAGGCCACAUUCCAGCCCAGAGAGAUUCUAUCUCUUGCUCAUUCCUUAUCUAUGCAGCUUAUCUGCCAUUGAAUUAAACUUGUCCACCAAGACUUCAUCUGCACAUACCAUGAGGGUGAGUGCAAACUGCUUGCUUGUUGUUGCUGGACUCAUUCAAGAAAGGAGGACUUGUAUUGGGACCUCCCUGGGAGUUGGGCGGAGUGGGGCACAGGACAUCAGAGAGCACAAGCAAGGAUCAAGGCCACCCUCACCCCCAGGCACUAUGCCAGCAGGUGAUGUAGACUUUCUCAUUUAAUGUACAUAACAGCCCAGAAAGGUUGAUAUGUUUGUUUCUGUUUUCCAGCUAGGGAAACCGAGGCUCAGUGGGAAACACCUGAGGUAGAGCUUUAAUUUCACACCCUUUGGGCUGACUCCCAGCAGUUGUAAAUGUGUGCUACCCUGAACAUUACUACCAUGUUGUAGCAGAGAUUUCUAAACUCACCCUGAAACACCACCGCGGUGUGGAUGACUUCACCAUGCAUAACUCUGUUCUACAAGGUCCUGUCCCCAUCUUUGAUUCUCCUGGACAUUUCUGCCUGGAAAUCCUACUAAAAGCUAGAGCUCAAUACAUAGUCAAAUAACUCUCUUCCCUGCUAAAGCCAGGCCUCCUUCCCUUGCCACCCUACCCUUUUCAGAGGUAUGUGAUUUUUUUAAACUUCUCGAAAGACCAGUUAUUAGAAACCUCUCCCCAGGGAUUUAAUCUCCAAAAUAUUUCUCGCCUCUCUCCCUUUUCCAUCUCCACCACCAUUACCCUUUGGGCCUCAGUCCAUAUGGUUCCGUUUUCUCCAAUGGCAAAACACAUCUCUCCCCAGCUUUCACAGUUUAAACACAGCUCGAUCAAGUCAGUUCCUCAGACCCCGGCACCUAUGCAUUGGAAUCACCUGAUAUAAAGCACUGAGAAUUAGUCAGCAUCCUGGGUGUCCCCUUUUUAAAGCCCUUUUCAGAAGUCACAUCAGGUGUAUUUGUUCUUCUGAGAUCAAGGACACUGUCAGGUUCUGAGGAUCAGACCCAGCCCCCAGGCAUUGAGAAGUUGUGACCCUCGCUGUGUUCUUGUCUUUUUGGAUUGGAUGAAGGCCGGGAGGCUAUGCUACUAAUAAAGAGUCAAGUACCAUAGGUGAAAGUUAGCAUCGUUGUGCUUUCUGAUGUUUCCCCGAAAGAUAUCUGCUGUUUUCCAGUUACUCAGGUGAAUGGUGCCCCCGUUAAGCCUUUGACCUCCCCACUAGAGGGUGAUGCUUUAGGCUUACCAGCUGCAGUUUAUGGAUUUUCUGAUCGGCUUUCUCUGACCUCUCUUCCGGGAGACAGUCCUUUGGUUGGCAAAUCUGGCCAAUUAAACCAGAAUGUAAUGGCGGUAUUUCUUUUUGUGUUCCAUAUAACUAUGAAGUGCUCCACACCAAAGAGAAUCCCACAGCCCAACAAGUUUAGUACAUCUCUUGGAGAUCCACUUUAGCAUGUUAAAAGCUCUGAGAA